rnacentral:rRNA from 1 species
CAAUACGACUCUCGGCAACGGAUAUCUCGGCUCUCGCAUCGAUGAAGAACGUAGCGAAAUGCGAUACUUGGUGUGAAUUGCAGAAUCCCGUGAACCAUCGAGUCUUUGAACGCAAGUUGCGCCCCAAGCCGUUAGGCUGAGGGCACGUCUGCCUGGGUGUCACAC